rnacentral:ribozyme from 2 species
GCCUUAAUGCGGCUUCCGAACGGGAACUGUUGCAAGCCAGUACAAACGCAGAGCAGGGA